AUUGAACGCUGGCGGCAUGCUUUACACAUGCAAGUCGAACGGUAGACCCUUUCGGGGGUUGAGAGUGGCGAACGGGUGAGUAAUGCAUCGGAACGUGCCUAGUCGUGGGGGAUAACGUAGCGAAAGUUACGCUAAUACCGCAUACGCACUGAGGUGGAAAGCGGGGGAUCGCAAGACCUCGCGCGAUUAGAGCGGCCGAUGUCGGAUUAGCUAGUUGGUGAGGUAAAGGCUCACCAAGGCGACGAUCCGUAGCGGGUCUGAGAGGAUGAUCCGCCACACUGGGACUGAGACACGGCCCAGACUCCUACGGGAGGCAG
rnacentral:rRNA from 1 species